UAGACAUUCAUCUCUUGGGUGUACCCCUCA
rnacentral:piRNA from 1 species